AUGCAGAGCAAAAAUGCUGCUGUCAUUGGUGCCUCCACCACCACGGGCACGGUGUGCAUCACAUUGACCUGUCACCUCUCUCUGUUGCUCAGAGAUGUGGUGAUGCUCCAUCCCUGCAGACAGCCGAGGUCAGGCUGGAUGGGCUCCAAGCACCUGGUGGAGCUGUGGGUGCUCCAUUUCAUCACACAGGGGAAUGGGACCAAGCGGCCUUUAAAGGUCCCUCCAACCUCGAGCCGUUCUGUGAUGCCACGAAGGGGGAUUUCCCUCACAGGAUCACAGACUUCGUGCCGUCGACGGUGUUCUCCUCCCGCAGCGCUGCGGGGCCGGGCGGUGCAGCGGCUGCCGCGGCCACACGGUGGUAGGAGAAGCCCCGGCAGCGCUGCGGGCUCCGCUCCGCUCUGCUCCAUUCCCCCCCUGCCCGCAGCCCCGGCCGCAGCUGUGACGAACGGAGAGCACAAAACUCUUGUACGAAGGGCUGAGGAACCGGCCAGCACCAGUGCGAGGUGCCGAAUUGCCACAGCUCGGGAGUUGCGUUCACUGAAGUCUGAGGGUCCUGGACUCCCUGUUCUGCAGAAAAAUAAAUACCCCCUUGGCGUGUUUGUGGCAUUGGUUUCUUACUGCAAACACAAGGCUGGAUGGGAAAGGAAGGGAGGACUGAGUUGGUGCUGUUGAAUGCAGGUAAGAGUACUUCCCCAUCACCCAUCCCACCUCCCCCAUCCCAGCCAUCGGCACUGGGAGGACCUGAGCUUCGGGAUGCCCACUGCAGUGAUGAUGACCACACUGCACCAUGGGAUGACAGUUGUUUUUCUUCCCUAGAGCUUGUGUGGCUGCACCGGCGUCUCUGACAGCAUAAUCUCCUGCUUGGUGUCAUCAUUAUGGAAACAAGCUGUAAAUCUCCCCUUGAUGUUAUGUAGAUCCGGGAUCGCUUGCCUCUCGGGAACAGCCACUGUUAAGAAAUAGGGUGUUGAACAUAAAGAUUGCAAGCACUAAUUUUGGGAAGGAGCUGCCUUAGCACCAAGAGCCACUGGUGAUGCUGGGGCUCAGCAUGGGGUUGGCUCCCAGCUCUGGGCGCUCCCCACACCAAAUCCUCUUUUCCCCUUCUCAUCCCCUUGCAGAGCCAUAGAGCAGCAGGAGGGGAGAAUAGUGCAGAGCUGGGAGGGGGGCCGGGCAGCACAAGCUGCUGUUUGGAUAUUUUCAUCUCCGUUUUGCUGACCCACGGACACCUUUGCUCCCAGCCCUGUCAUUUUCACACCUGCUCCCAUUUAAUUCUGCACAUCCCAGCCAGCUCUGCGGGUCGCUGCGUUUCGGGCUCUCCUGCUCCCUGUGCCUCCACUCACCCUCCAUGAGCCCUUUAAUCUCUGGGAAUUUACUUUUUUUUCCCUCUGACAUCUCUGAGUCUCUUGUGAAAUGCAAAUUAAUUAGAUUCUAAUUACUCACUGUGUGCUGUUUCUGUUUCACUCUCUUGUUAGGUUAGUCUAACAUCUUUGUUGUCAGCUGUAUGUUGUAUGUAUUCAGCCCAUUAAAAGUGAUCCUUGUUCAGCGGGAGACAGGCAGAGCAAAGAGACAGUUCCCCCCUCCCGCUGGGGCUUUGUCAGGAGCAGCUUUGUCAGCACUUCCCGGCAGCAUCGCAAAGGCAAACCUUGCCUUUUUUCCUUCCAAUUGUUCAUUUUCC
rnacentral:lncRNA from 1 species